rnacentral:lncRNA from 1 species
AGGAGCCCAGCUGGCUUCACCCAGUGGAUCCCCCACAGGGCUGCAGGUGGAGCUGCCUGCCAGUUCCCGGCCGUGUGCCCGCACUCCUCAGCGCUUGGGUGUCGAUGGGACUGGGCCCAUGGAGUAGGGGGCGGCGCUCGUCUGGGAGGCUCGGGCCACACAGGAGCCCACGGAGGUUGGGGGAGGCUCAGGCAUGGCGGGCUGCAGGUCCCGAGCCCUGCCGUGCAGGAAGGCAGUUAAGGCCCCGCGAGAAAUUGAGCACAGCAGCUGCUGGCUGAGGUGCUAAGCCCCUCACUGCCUGAGGCCAGUGGGGCCGGCCAGCUGCUCCGAGUGCGGGGUCCGCCGAGCCCACGCCCAUCCGGAACUCGCGCUGGCCUGCAAGCACCGCGCGCAGCCCUGGUUCCCGCCCGCGCCUCUCCCUCCACACCUCCCUGUAAGCUGAAGGAGCCCGCUCCGGCCUUGGCCAGCACAGAAAGGGGCUCCCACAGUGCAGCCUCGAGCUGAAGGGCUCAUCAAGUGCCGCCAAAGUGGGAGCCCAGGCAGGGGAGGCGCCGAGAGCCAGUGAGGACUGCCAGCACCGCUGUCACCUCUCAGAAAUGCUGGGAAGAAUAUGAGAGAUCCGGAAGGGAACAGAAGACAAGGAAUGUGGGCACCCUCUAGAAGUUGCAGAAGCCAGAGAAACAGACUCUCCCCUGGAAUGUUCAGAAAGUGUACAAUCCUGCCAAGACCUCGGUCAUAGCUCAGUGAAACCCAUUUUGAAAUUCGGACCACCAGAACUAUCCAGAUUGUGAGAAACGCAUUCACCCAUUCAAACCCAAACAAUGGACUCGGAGUCAAGAAGAACAGCAGAAGCGAGACUUUCUAUGACGGUCUUGCAAGAUGGGGUGUCUGGUAGGCAGGCACACCCAGUGCCUGUUACAACAGAUUGUGGCCAUAAUAGGAUGGUACAAAAUAUGUUUCUAGAGAAACUGGCAUUAACUAAACCAUACUCUGCAAAACCCAAGCAAAAGAUAAGGACAACAACAUAUGGACUUUUACAACAAAUGAGUUCACAUGACUUUUUUUUACAUUCUUUAGCUAUGAAUAGAUGAAAACAGCAGAAUUCAUGGACAAUGGGGAUAUAAAAGGUGGCAAUACAAAGUGGAAUAGAUAAUAAAUGUUGUGACUCGAAGAAAAUGGAGUAAAUUGAACGUGAGUUCACAGAUAACAACACCGAAGAGAAAAGAGUGACUUAUCAGAAUCUUGCAAUUUGUCAAAGAUUGUUUAGCCUGUAAGUCAACAUUUUGCAUAAAUUUGAAAAUUAAACUAGCUCUUACCUCCUAAUGCACCAUAAUGUAAAUUCAUUUUAAUUAUAUUUGAUUGAUUUAUUGACUCAUCCUCCGUACAAACAUUCAUUCAUUAUUAAUUAGUUCAAAGCAUAUUUAUUUAAAAAAUAAAACCUAUCAUAAGCCAGGUAGUUUGCUAAGUAUGGGGAGGCAUCAGCAGACAAGGCAGAAUAGAUUCUUGUCCUGAUUUCAGAUAGCCAUAAAAGUUGUGAUGAAAUGAAAUUAUGUGAUAGAGAUAAACGGAAGGGGAAGUCGUC